rnacentral:tRNA from 1 species
CCUGGUGGCUUAGAUGGUAAAGAAUCUGCUUGUAAUGCAGGAGACCUGGGUUUGAUCCCUGGGUCAGGA